rnacentral:lncRNA from 1 species
AUGGCCGCCAACCCAGCGCUGCUGCGGGCCAUGGCCACCAACCCCGCAUCACGAGGCAGGAAGGAAGCCAGCCUCACACCACAGUACCAGAUGGCCACCAGCUCAGCUCCGACGCUCAAGAUGGCUGCUGACUCAUUUUUAGACUAUUUCUCCAUGCUGUCACUGAUCCUAGAAGUUCCCAAAACUGUUCACGUCAAAGCUGCUGAGCCAGCGCCACAACCCAAGAUGGCCGCCAAUCCAGCACCACAGCACAAGAUGGCGGCCAGUCCAGCGCCACAGCCCAAGAUGGCCGCCAGCCUAGCACCACAGCACAAGAUGGUCGCCAGCUUAGAGCCACAGCACAAGAUGGCCGACUCAACGUCUGAGUCGCCAGUCAAGGUGCCCUUGACUCACCAUCGUAGAGUGCGGAGGACUGGGAGACAGGCUUCUACCGUUCCUCAAAGCCUGGAGAACGUUCCCGAGCGGGCUGCUGCCAUCCAGGGGGACGUUCCUGAGCGGGCCGCUGCCGUCCAGGAGGACGUUACCAAGCAGGCCGCUGCUGUCCAGGAGGACGUUUCCGUGUGGGCCGCUUCCGUCCCCAAGGCUGUGCCCGAGGUCGUUCCCGAUGCAGUGACCGAGGCGGUGCCCAAGGCUGUUCCGGAGGUCGAGGCGGUGCCCGAGGCUGUUCCAGAGGCCGAGGUGGUGCCCAAUGCUGUUCCAGAGGCCGAGGCGGCGCCCGAUGCUGUACCAGAGGCUGAGGCAGUGCCCAAGGCCGUUCCUGAUGCGGUGACCGAGACCGCUCCCGAGGCCGUUACCGAGGCGGUGCCUGAGGCCUUUCCCGAUGCAGUGUCCGAGGCCGAUCCCGAUGCCUUGACCGAGGCGGUGCACGAAACAGUUCCAGAGACAGUGCCCGAAGCCAAGGCGCUUCAGGUCUUCACAGACAGUCCAGAGUCUAGUCAGAUUCCCAUGGACUCUCUGGAAUUGGGUCAGGUUCCGAUGGACUCUCCGGACUCGAGUCGGGUUCCGGUGGACUCUCAGGAGUCAAGUCAGGUUCCGGUGGACUCUCAGGAGUCGAGUCAGGUUCCGGGGGACUCUCAGGAGUCGAGUCAGGUUCCGGGGGACUCUCAGGAGUCGAGUCAGGUUCCGGGGGACUCUCAGGAGUCGAGUCAGGUUCCGGGGGACUCUCAGGAGUCGAGUCAGGUUGACUCUAUGUAG